UCUUUGAGCCCAACCAAAGCUAAGAGAAAGCUUGAGAGCACUCUCAACAUGAUUCCAAUUCCCUAUUUCAAUAUGAUGCACAUUCUCUCUAACCCCUCACCGAAGAACAAACCCCACCGCGCUGGAAAUUGCCUUUGGCGGUGGGGGAGGUCCAAGUGAACUCAACCUUACCUUAAUUUGUUCAUCCUCACCUCCCAUUUCACAAUCUCUUGUCAAUUUCCCUUAAUUCCUAAAUGUUUCACCAAAUCGAGCUAGGGAAUUCAAGAACCCUAAAAAAAGAAAACCGCAAUUAAAUGACAAUGGAGAACGAAAUGGAGCUUAAACCUUAGGGGUUUGGUUCCUUGAUAGAUAAACUAUAUCACGGUAAUGGAAAUUGACCAAGAAGUGAAUGAAAUCGGAUGCAACACUAACCUUCAAGGCAAAGGCGGCCUUGGUAACAUUGAGAACGAAAAUGAUGAAGCAAGAAGUCCAUAUAUAAACUAGGUUGUUAGUUAUAUGUUAUGAGAAAUGGCGAGGGAGCUAUCAAUAGAAGAAAGGCACCCAUUGAAGCCCGAUGAAGACUGGAACUUUCCAAUUGAUUGAGUGUUUAAGCCUGCUGCAUACCAUGCAAAUUAGUCUUUGUAAUUGCUUGAUUAGAAUGCAUGAUGUGUUAGCAAGGUUUGGUCAAGGUUCAUGAAGGUUUGAUCAAGGCAUGAAGGCUUUGGGUAAAAAAUAAAAAAUCAUGAAGAACAAGAAUGGGGAUAACUUAUAAAUGAAGGGACGGUAGGAAUUAGGGUUAGGAUUUAGUGGUUGACUUUGGUCAACUGUUUGACUAAAAGGUCAAUAGUUGAUCAAAAGUCAACUCUAUGUCAAAAUGUGUAAAAUCUCGUGUAGACUUUAAUUUUGACUCCUUUGUAAUGUAUGUUUAAUGAUUUAUAAUGAAAAUUGAUCUUUGAAUGACAA